rnacentral:rRNA from 1 species
GAUGAACGCUAGCUACAGGCUUAACACAUGCAAGUCGAGGGGAAACGAUAUUGGAAGCUUGCUUCCGAUAGGCGUCGACCGGCGCACGGGUGAGUAACGCGUAUCCAACCUGCCCAUCACUUGGGGAUAACCUUGCGAAAGUAAGACUAAUACCCAAUGACGUCUCUAGAAGACAUCUGAAAGAGAUUAAAGAUUUAUCGGUGAUGGAUGGGGAUGCGUCUGAUUAGCUUGUUGGCGGGGUAACGGCCCACCAAGGCGACGAUCAGUAGGGGUUCUGAGAGGAAGGUCCCCCACAUUGGAACUGAGACACGGUCCAAACUCCUACGGGAGGCAGCAGUGAGGAAUAUUGGUCAAUGGGCGAGAGCCUGAACCAGCCAAGUAGCGUGCAGGAUGACGGCCCUAUGGGUUGUAAACUGCUUUUAUAAGGGAAUAAAGUGAGUCUCGUGAGACUUUUGCAUGUACCUUAUGAAUAAGGACCGGCUAAUUCCGUGCCAGCAGCCG